rnacentral:snRNA from 1 species
GCGGCCGUCGGUGCAGAUCUUGGUGG